AUGGAUUUACAACUCAUGAAUUACAACUCAAAACUAGAACAAGAUAUGAAUCUAUAUGAAUGCCUCCGGCGGUGUACCGGGAUGGGCAAUGAAUCAAGAGUGACAUGUAUGAAAAAUUAUGCAAAGUGUCCUUGCCACAAAUACGAUGUCAACUACAUGAUCAUGCAAUGGCAAUAUGACAAAAGUAAUGCAUGUCAUGAUGAUAAACGGAACGGUGGAAAGUUGCAUGGCAAUAUAUCUCGGAAUGGCUACGGAAAUGCCAUAAUAGGUAGGUAUGGUGGCUGUUUUGAGGAAGAUAUAAGGAGGUUUAUGUGUCAUAGAGCGUAUCAUAUCACGGGGUUUGGAUGCACCGGCGAAGUUUGCACCAACUCUCAAGGUGAGAGAGGGCAAUGCACGGUACCGAAGAGGCUAGCAAUGAUGGAAAGGUAA
rnacentral:rRNA from 1 species